rnacentral:rRNA from 1 species
UACGAAGGGUGCGAGCGUUGUUCGGAAUCACUGGGCGUAAAGGGCGUGUAGGCGGUCCGCUAAGUCUGAUGUGAAAGCCCGGGGCUCACCCCCGGAAGUGCAUUGGAAACUGGCGGACUCGAGUCCCGGAGAGGAGAGUGGAAUUCCUGGUGUAGCGGUGAAAUGCGUAGAUAUCAGGAGGAACACCGGUGGCGAAGGCGGCUCUCUGGACGGUGACUGACGCUGAGACGCGAAAGCGUGGGGAGCAAACAGG